rnacentral:lncRNA from 1 species
GGAGGAUGGAUCAUUAGUACCAGAUAGAACAUCGGAUAUUAUAUUGAUAACACCAAUUGUUGGUUGGUUGUGAUUGUCAGAAGUUACGUCUGUCAGAGGCCUGUACUCUCUAAUUUUGGCCGAUCUGACAUAUUUACUGAAGUAACCCUAAUGCACCAAGGUUUCUAUCUCAUCUCGCAGAUGUCUGCAUUCUUCGGUGUCA